UUGGUCAUUUAGAGGAAGUAAAAGUCGUAACAAGGUUUCCGUAGGUGAACCUGCGGAAGGAUCAUUAUUGAAUAUAAACUUGGAUAGACUGCUGCUGGCUUCUCUUUGAGGGGCAUGUGCACGUUUGUCCUCUUUAUUUUUCCACCUGUGCACCUUUUGUAGGCUUGGAUUAUCACUGGUUCUAUAAUGUGUCUUUCAAAGGCAUAAGAAUUGUCUUGGGGCUGCUGUGUUUAAACCCAUGUUUAUCAGCUUUCCCUUUUAUUUUCCAAGUCUAUGUUUGCUAUAUACACUCCAGAAAUGUAAUAGAAUGCUGUACUUUAGGUCAUUUGUACCUAUAAUAAAAAUCAGUACAACUUUCAGCAACGGAUCUCUUGGCUCUCGCAUCGAUGAAGAACGCAGCGAAAUGCGAUAAGUAAUGUGAAUUGCAGAAUUCAGUGAAUCAUCGAAUCUUUGAACGCAUCUUGCGCUCCCUGGUAUUCCAAGGAGCAUGCCUGUUUGAGUAUCAUUAAAUUAUCAACUGUGCCAAUUUGGUUACAGAUUGGAUGUGGGAGAUUUCUUGCAGGCUUUUGACUUUCUCUUUGAGAAGGAAAAGAAAAAAAGCCAGCUCUCCUGAAAUGUAUUAGCAGUGCCUUUGUUGGUUCAUUAGGUGUGAUAAUUUAUCUACAUCUUCAAAUGGUACCUUCAUUUGUAAAGGUCAUAUUGCUUCUAAUUGUCUUUGGGACAAAACACGUAUAAUGCGUGACAGACUUGAUCUCAAAUCAGGCAGGACUACCCGCUGAACUUAAGCAUAUCAAUAAGCGGAGGA
rnacentral:rRNA from 1 species